rnacentral:rRNA from 1 species
UGUUUGAUCAUGGCUCAGAUUGAACGCCGGUGGUAUGCUUAACACAUGCAAGUCGAACGGUAACAGGCCUUCGGGCGCUGACGAGUGGCGGACGGGUGAGUAACGCGUAGGAAUCUGCCUCAUAGUGGGGGACAACGUGGGGAAACUCACGCUAAUACCGCAUACGCCCUACGGGGGAAAGCGGGGGAUCUUCGGACCUCGCGCUAUGAGAUGAGCCUGCGUUAGAUUAGCUAGUUGGUAGGGUAAAGGCCUACCAAGGCGACGAUCUAUAGCUGGUCUGAGAGGACGAUCAGCCACACUGGGACUGAGACACGGCCCAGACUCCUACGGGAGGCAGCAGUGGGGAAUAUUGGACAAUGGGCGCAAGCCUGAUCCAGCAAUACCGCGUGUGUGAAGAAGGCCCUAGGGUUGUAAAGCACUUUCAAUUGGGAGGAAAACCUGCCGGUCAAUACCCGGCAGCUUGACAUUACCUUUAGAAGAAGCACCGGCUAACUCCGUGCCAGCAGCCGCGGUAAUA